rnacentral:rRNA from 1 species
UCCAGAGGGUGCAAGCGUUGUUCGGAAUCACUGGGCGUAAAGCGCGUGUAGGCGGUUUCCUAAGUCAGGUGUGAAAUCCCCCGGCUUAACCGGGGAAGUGCGCCUGAAACUGGGAGGCUUGAGUAUCGGAGAGGAAAGGGGAAUUCCCGGUGUAGAGGUGAAAUUCGUAGAUAUCGGGAGGAACACCGGCGGCGAAGGCGCCUUUCUGGUCGAUCACUGACGCUGAGACGCGAAAGCGUGGGGAGCAAACAGG